UGGGGAAUAUUGCACAAUGGAGGGAACUCUGAUGCAGCGACGCCGCGUGAACGAAGAAGGCUUUCGAGUCGUAAAGUUCUUUUAUAUGGGAAGAUAAUGACGGUACCAUAAGAAAAAGCCCCGGCUAACUACGUGCCAGCAGCCGCGAUAAUACGUAGGGGGCUAGCGUUGUCCGGAAUCACUGGGCGUAAAGGGUUCGCAGGCGGAAAUGCAAGUCAGGUGUAAAAGGCAGUAGCUUAACUACUGUAAGCAUUUGAAACUGCAUAUCUUGAGAAGAGUAGAGGUAAGUGGAAUUUUUAGUGUAGCGGUGAAAUGCGUAGAUAUUAAAAAGAAUACCGGUGGCGAAGGCGGCUUACUGGGCUCAUUCUGACGCUGAGGAACGAAAGCGUGGGUAGCAAACAGG
rnacentral:rRNA from 1 species